rnacentral:rRNA from 1 species
UACGUAGGGUGCAAGCGUUAAUCGGAAUUACUGGGCGUAAAGCGUGCGCAGGCGGUUUUGUAAGUCUGUCGUGAAAUCCCCGGGCUCAACCUGGGAAUUGCGAUGGAGACUGCAAGGCUAGAAUCUGGCAGAGGGGGGUAGAAUUCCACGUGUAGCAGUGAAAUGCGUAGAGAUGUGGAGGAACACCGAUGGCGAAGGCAGCCCCCUGGGUCAAGAUUGACGCUCAUGCACGAAAGCGUGGGGAGCAAACGAGGAUUAGAGUACCCGG